UGGACCCUGCUGUGUCCGUGAUGCUGCAGGAGGUUUUGAGCCAACACUUUGAAUAGGGGGUCUUGACUUCGUUGGGGGCCGCGAUAGGCUACGGCCAAGGCGAAACCCAAGAGCGGGGCCCCACCUGCGAAUGCAGGUUCAAAACAAUGUAGCACACGGCAUAGCGGGGUGUUC
rnacentral:other from 1 species